ACUACUAGCAGUCCAUGUUGAUUGCAGAACCAGAGCGGGAAUGCUAUUAGGUGGGAAAGGCCUGCGUCUAUUUUGGCUUGAAAAACACAGUACAUUGGAUGGAAUGUGCAUAACAUGAAGGGUAGUCAGACAUUUUACACCAUUGAUUGCAAAAGCUACGACUGCGAUUUUCAAAGCAGUCAAUAACUCGAUGUACUAAUAUGGCCGGACAGGCUGCGUCCCAUAACACAAAGCCAUGUCAUGUGAAAACUUGGAGCUCAAGAUAGCAGUCAAUAACUUGCAUAUCUUGGAAUCGAAGAAAUUGUUAGCAAGCCUUAACAAACCAGAAGCGCAUGUAGCUGAGAGCCUGAAGCAAGUUAGGUACCCAUCUGUGAGAGAGAUUUACAUCCUUCAUCUGUUCAAAAAUUGGGGGUUUUUUGAGAUCCAUUCAGAGCCGAAUAGCUACGUACGGCUAAUGGGGAAAGGGAUUGAAGGUCAGAAGGGGACGUGGGCAAGGGAAGAAAGAGAAUUUGUCAAUCCAUAGUCAGGUUGCUACAGACUUUGGCAGAGCACAAUGAAGAGUCUGCACUAUUGCAACACCUCCACCCUGACAUGAUACAAACACUUUUGCAAAGGAAGUUUCAUCAAUUUACCAUUGGGUGGCAUCUACAUGUCCACGAACAUGUUAGCAACGAUACAUUGUAUACUAUCCACAUUUAUGAGGCCUUCUUUUUUCUUCAGCUUGGGAGAGGGAACCACAUAUAUAGGGUACUAUGGCCUAUAUAUUUGGCCUUAGUGUACUGGUAUGUUUCUCUCCAUGGGUCCACAUUAUGUGCACUGCUAGAGACCCAUGGAGGGGACGGGCCCGAGUGCCAUAUAACAAUGAUGGCAUCCACGUUGUCACUCAACUUUUUCCUACCAAUCUUGUGGUUAUGGACUAUAUUUGCCUCUUCACGAGAUAUAACAGUCUUUUCCCACCACGAGGGUUGGUAGGGUUCUGAGAAUAUUUCCAUCAUAGAUGAGGUCUUCUCCAUAAAAUUGUAUUAUCUUUGGUUGUACGGCUUUGGUUUUUAUAAAACAAUUGAAAUUUAUGUUUA